CUCAAUGAUCCUUAUGGGUUCCUUCCAACUUGGGAUAUUCUAUGAUUCUAUGAUUUCUAUGAUCUGUGGCCUGUAUGCUGGAGGCUAGAUCUUCUGUUGAGUCUUAGUGGCACAACAGGUUUUGUGUGUAGUAACACUAAGCCUCUGCUUACAUGCUGGAUUUGAGUCUCUCAGAUGAAAAGACGGUUGAUUCUGGAAUACAUCUGUAACCUUCCUCUGUGAGUUGGCAAGACUGCUGUUUUCAACAUCCGUUUUUCUCUUGUUUAGUAAUAUGACAACAGGCAAAAAAUACAUGUCAAUGUUUUAGUGAGCUUAGCUUUGAGCAUUUUUGCUGUUAUUUAAAAUUAAAAUGCACGCACCCAUACACCUCCUCCUCCUAGCUGAAGGCAAAGGACCAAAAUGGUGAUGAGUAGCAACAUACAACGUGGGGCUUGAGCAUGUCCAUUUGAACUCGGGGCUUAGCCUGUUACCAAGGUGGGGGCUAAUACUUGAAUUGGAAUGCCACUGGCAUCCUGAUGCAUGGCUUCAAAGAAAGUCCUUUACCUAAGAUUUUAGUUGUUUGUUGUUGCGUUGAAAUCAAGCUUGAAGGCAUCAUCUCUGUUCCUAACUGAUGACAGAUAACUAUGUUUUAUUCAUGCAAACCCUUGCAGUACAGUUAGGAUCCUGUAUUUGUCUAGGCACGUAGUCAGCUUGAACUAACUUGUUUAACUCAACAACGAGGGAAAUGUUCCAUUUGCACAAAGUGGCACCUGCCUUACUUGUGGGUAAACACAACCAUGUAGGACGUCUGUCCAGGUGGUCAUUGGCAACAAGCAAAUCAUGUACUUCUGUGAAAAUAUGUUGCACACAAAAUGGAGGCUUGUGCUGACUGCAAGAAAUAAUAGACUGAAGCUUCUAGGUAGUUCACAUAAGACGGUGUUGUCAAACACGUUGAAAAGAAGUAGUGUACAGGACUGAGUGUGUCAUUUUUGAUAUCCUGAAAAGGCUGUUAUAAAAGAACAGACACCAGUCUGUUUUUUACAUCUUGGGUGAAUUUUUCCAAGAGAUAUUUGAAGGCUGUUCAAAGUAACUUCUGUUCUCCAUCUGAAAGGUCUUUCAGAUUGAGGCAGGAUGCAGUCCUGCAGUGUGAGCAGGUCAGGAAGGCUUGACAGUGAACCUGUGGCACAGCAACGCUUAGUGGUAACUUAGGUCUCUUGGUUUACUGGGGAGGAUAGCAAGGCUGGCAUAUGUGCUGGUGAAUUUAGAGGCUCUGAAGUUGGAAAAGCAGCUUGUCUGAAGAAUUCCAAGUCUGAGCACCUUCAUGUUUAGGUAGCGUUUGACCAUUUGUAGGAUUUGGUUGCUGGGAAGCAUUUUUCCAUGCUGUACGUCACAUGUUGCUGUGUUACUGCACCUAAUGAAAUGUCAUUUAUUGUAUGUAUAGGUGCAUGCGGUAAUCUUAUUUAUUUAAUCCUCAGAUUCUGUUAAAGUAUCGUGAGUCCAAAAUAUCCAGCUUGUGGAAACAAAACAUACGCAGAACGUCAGAGCAGUAUAUCUAAAUGUAAUGAAAACCCCAGUGAUUUUGAGGAGCCAAUGAAUUCCGACGCAGGAGCAGAGAAGUUGGUGGUGUGUAGUGUUCCUGAGAAUUGCAUGUGUUGAAAACUUCACUCUUCAUGACGGUUGGAAGCUGAACUUUGGGGAGUUUAAAACUGCCAGUUUACCAUGGAAGUCAGUUCUAUCCAAUACCUAUAGGCACUGAUGGGAAAUUGUUCCUGAAGUAAAUUAAAGAACAAAGGUAUGUACCAGUU